CUGUCAUAACAUCUACUGUCUAUCCACAGGUUAACUGUCAUAACAUCUACUGUCUAUCCACAGGUUAACUGUCAUAACAUCUACUGUCUAUCCACAGGUUAACUGUCAUAACAUCUACUGUCUAUCCACAGGUUAACUGUCAUAACAUCUACUGUCUAUCCACAGGUUAACUGUCAUAACAUCUACUGUCUAUCCACAGGUUAACUGUCAUAACAUCUACUGUCUAUCCACAGGUUAACUGUCAUAACAUCUACUGUCUAUCCACAGGUUAACUGUCAUAACAUCUACUGUCUAUCCACAGGUUAACUGUCAUAACAUCUACUGUCUAUCCACAGGUUAACUGUCAUAACAUCUACUGUCUAUCCACAGGUUAACUGUCAUAACAUCUACUGUCUAUCCACAGGUUAACUGUCAUAACAUCUACUGUCUAUCCACAGGUUAACUGUCAUAACAUCUACUGUCUAUCCACAGGUUAACUGUCAU